CCUACGGGAGGCAGCAGUGGGGAAUAUUGCACAAUGGGCGAAAGCCUGAUGCAGCGACGCCGCGUGAGGGAUGACGGCCUUCGGGUUGUAAACCUCUUUCAGCAGGGAAGAAGCGAAAGUGACGGUACCUGCAGAAGAAGCGCCGGCUAACUACGUGCCAGCAGCCGCGGUAAUACGUAGGGCGCAAGCGUUGUCCGGAAUUAUUGGGCGUAAAGAGCUCGUAGGCGGCUUGUUGCGUCGGUUGUGAAAGCCCGGGGCUUAACCCCGGGUCUGCAGUCGAUACGGGCAGGCUAGAGUGUGGUAGGGGAGAUCGGAAUUCCUGGUGUAGCGGUGAAAUGCGCAGAUAUCAGGAGGAACACCGGUGGCGAAGGCGGAUCUCUGGGCCAUUACUGACGCUGAGGAGCGAAAGCGUGGGGAGCGAACAGGAUUAGAUACCCUGGUAGUCCACGCCGUAAACGUUGGGAACUAGGUGUUGGCGACAUUCCACGUCGUCGGUGCCGCAGCUAACGCAUUAAGUUCCCCGCCUGGGGAGUACGGCCGCAAGGCUAAAACUCAAAGGAAUUGACGG
rnacentral:rRNA from 1 species